AGAGUUUGAUCAUGGCUCAGAACGAACGCUGGCGGCAGGCUUAACACAUGCAAGUCGAACGGUUGUAGCAAUACAGCAGUGGCGCACGGGUGAGUAACGCGUGGAUAUCUGCCUUUGGUUCGGAAUAACUCCGGGAAACUGGAGCUAAUACCGGAUGGUUCCUACGGGAUAAAGAUUUAUCGCCAAAAGAUGAGUCCGCGUACGAUUAGCUAGUUGGUGAGGUAAUGGCUCACCAAGGCGACGAUCGUUAGCUGGUCUGAGAGGACGAUCAGCCACACUGGGACUGAGACACGGCCCAGACUCCUACGGGAGGCAGCAGUGGGGAAUAUUGGACAAUGGGGGCAACCCUGAUCCAGCCAUGCCGCGUGAGUGAUGAAGGCCUUCGGGUUGUAAAGCUCUUUUGGCGGGGACGAUGAUGACGGUACCCGCAGAAUAAGCCCCGGCUAACUUCGUG
rnacentral:rRNA from 1 species